rnacentral:rRNA from 1 species
ACUCAAAGGAAUUGACGGGGACCCGCACAAGCGGUGGAGCAUGUGGUUCAAUUCGACGAUAAGCGAGGAACCUCACCAAGGUUUGACAUGUAGCUGCAAGGCCUAGAAAUAGGUCCGCCUUCGAGGGUGCUACACAGGUGCUGCAUGGUUGUCGUCAGCUCGUGUCGUGAGAUGUACCGUUAAGUCGGGUAACGAGCGCAACCCCUAUGCUAUGUUAAAUAUUCAUAGCAAACUGCCUGGGAUAACCAGGAGGAAGGCGGGGAUGACGUCAAAUCAGCAUGGCCCUUACACCUUGGGCGACACACGUGCUACAAUGGCCAGUACAAUGGGUUGCCAAACCGUAAGGUGGAGCCAAUCCCAUCAAAGCUGGUCUCAGUUCGGAUUGAGGUCUGCAACUCGACCUCAUGAAGCUGGAAUCGCUAGUAACCGCGUAUCAGCCAUGGCGCGGUGAAUACGUUCUCGGGUCUUGUACACACCGCCCGU